GGAGCUACUUCCGGACACGUGGGUUGCGACGCCGCCGUAAUGACCGAAGAGAGGCGCACAAUAACUUACCCUGCUGAAUGUUAAUUUCUAAACCCUCAGCAGAAGUUCUGGUGUCCUCUGGUUUCCUUCCAGUCCACCAGCUGGUUCACAGAGGACAGUGAGGGCGUCUUCAUCUCAGAGAUGUGUGUCUUGAUGAGAGAGUGUGCGCAUGUAUAACCCAGCUUCACCUGAAAGAGAAAGUUUGGUUCGUUUGGGGAAGUGUGAACGUGCGAUCGGACCAAAACAGCGAACUCUGGUUAAUCUACAAACCAACGUCUCCAUUCGGUUGAAGUGAAUUCUGGAGCAAAAUAAAAGUAUAUGUGAAUGCCAAGCGGACUGGAGAAGCAGGAAGAGGACUACAAUGCAUUGCAUUCUGGCCAUCUUGGAUCCCAGCUGCAGCAGCAUCGUGGCUGUGUCGUACUGCUUCGCUGCGAGGUAAGCUUCACCCAGCAGGCUGUAGAUUUCUCCCAGUUCCCUGCAGCCCCAGAGCCUCAGCGGCCGGCCCUCCGGGUCCAGCCAGC